GACGUUGGAACACCAAUUCCAGUACGAUCACCGAUGUUAAGCAACGUCGAGCCAGGUCAGUACCUAGAUGGGUGAUUACUUGGGAAUACCAAGUGCUGU